AAGGCUCAGUACAACAGCUAUUAUUUAUUUGAUCAUAAACAUAGUUACUUGGAUAACUGUGGUAAUUCCAGAGCUAAUACAUGCAAACAACAUGGAUCCCUGUAGAAAUAUGGGUGAAACAUGUGCUUUUAUUAGAUUAAAACCAUAUCCAUUUCACGAUGGAUUUGUUUUAGAUGAAUCUGGAUAAUUAUGGCUGAUCGUAUGGUCUUGCACCGACGAUAGAUCAUUCAAAUGUCUGCCCUAUCAACUAUUGAUGGUAGUAUAGAGGACUACCAUGGUUGCAACGGGUAACGGGGAAUCAGGGUUCGA
rnacentral:rRNA from 1 species